rnacentral:rRNA from 1 species
GACGGAGGAUGCAAGUGUUAUCCGGAAUCACUGGGCGUAAAGCGUCUGUAGGUGAUUUAAAAAGUCCACUGUUAAAAAUUGAAGCUUAACUUCAAAGAUGCCGUGGAAACUUUUAAACUUGAGUAUGAUAGGGGUAGAGGGAAUUUCCAGUGGAGCGGUGAAAUGCGUAGAUAUUGGAAAGACCACCAAUGGCGAAGGCACUCUACUGGGCCAUUACUGACACUGAGAGACGAAAGCUAGGGGAGCGAAUGGG